UGGGGAAUAUUGCACAAUGGAGGGAACUCUGAUGCAGCGACGCCGCGUGAACGAAGAAGGCUUUCGAGUCGUAAAGUUCUUUUAUAUGGGAAGAUAAUGACGGUACCAUAAGAAAAAGCCCCGGCUAACUACGUGCCAGCAGCCGCGGUAAUACGUAGGGGGCUAGCGUUGUCCGGAAACACUGGGCGUAAAGGGUUCGCAGGCGGAAAUGCAAGUCAGGUGUAAAAGGCAGUAGCUUAACUACUGUAAGCAUUUGAAACUGCAUAUCUUGAGAAGAGUAGAGGUAAGUGGAAUUUUUAGUGUAGCGGUGAAAUGCGUAGAUAUUAAAAAGAAUACCGGUGGCGAAGGCGACUUACUGGGCUCAUUCUGACGCUGAGGAACGAAAGCGUGGGUAGCAAACAGG
rnacentral:rRNA from 1 species